rnacentral:rRNA from 1 species
CCUACGGGAGGCAGCAGUGGGGAAUAUUGCACAAUGGGGGAAACCCUGAUGCAGCGACGCCGCGUGAGUGAAGAAGUAAUUCGUUACGUAAAGCUCUAUCAGCAGGGAAGAAAUACUGACCUUACGGUCAGCAGACGGUACCUGAGUAAGAAGCCCCGGCUAACUACGUGCCAGCAGCCGCGGUAAUACGUAGGGGGCAAGCGUUAUCCGGAUUUACUGGGUGUAAAGGGAGCGUAGACGGCGGUGCAAGUCUGAAGUGAAAGCCCAGGGCUCAACCCUGGGACUGCUUUGGAAACUGUGGAGCUAGAGUGCUGGAGAGGUAAGUGGAAUUCCUAGUGUAGCGGUGAAAUGCGUAGAUAUUAGGAGGAACACCAGUGGCGAAGGCGGCUUACUGGACAGUAACUGACGUUGAGGCUCGAAAGCGUGGGGAGCAAACAGGAUUAGAUACCCUAGUAGUC